AACAGACGUUGCUAUGUAUUACAGACCGUUGCUAUGUAUAACAGACCGUUGCUAUGUAUCACAGACCGUUGGUAUGUAUCACAGACCGUUGCUAUGUAUAACAGACCGUUGCUAUGUAUAGCAGUCUGUUGCUACGUAUAACAGACCGUUGCUACGUAUAGCAGACCGUUGCUACGUAUAACAGACCGUUGCUAUGUAUAGCAGACC